AGAAAAUGAAAAUGCCAAUAGUUGUAGUCUAAGACAGAAACCUCACCAGAAAAACCUCGUCGAAGUUUGAACAGAGAUCUCACUUAAAUUUGACUGUAUUUGGAUGUUUUGCAAUGUUUAGCGGGUGGUCGUCGGUCAUUUUUGCACCGAGUUUUAGGUGUUACAAGCCCGUUCAUUUCCCCUCUAUUUUUGUUUCAUCCCCGUCCCUGCUUUCCUUUUGUGUGCGUCGAUCGAGCUCGUCGAAGAUGGCAGACAUGGAGGAAG
rnacentral:lncRNA from 1 species